GGGUUGUGAGGUUAAGCGACUAAGCGUACACGGUGGAUGCCCUGGCAGUCAGAGGCGAUGAAGGACGUGCUAAUCUGCGAUAAGCGUCGGUAAGGUGAUAUGAACCGUUAUAACCGGCGAUUUCCGAAUGGGGAAACCCAGUGUGAUUCGUCACACUAUCGUUAAGUGAAUACAUAGCUUAACGAAGCGAACCGGGGGAACUGAAACAUCUAAGUACCCCGAGGAAAAGAAAUCAACCGAGAUUCCCCCAGUAGCGGCGAGCGAACGGGGAACAGCCCAGAACCUGAAUCAGUUUGUGUGUUAGUGGAAGCGUCUGGAAAGUCGCAGGGUACAGGGUGAUACUCCCGUACACUAAAAUGCACAUUCUGUGAGUUCGAAGAGUAGGGCGGGACACGUGGUAUCCUGUCUGAAUAUGGGGGGACCAUCCUCCAAGGCUAAAUACUCCUGACUGACCGAUAGUGAACCAGUACCGUGAGGGAAAGGCGAAAAGAACCCCGGCGAGGGGAGUGAAACAGAACCUGAAACCGUGUACGUACAAGCAGUGGGAGCCUCUUUUAUGGGGUGACUGCGUACCUUUUGUAUAAUGGGUCAGCGACUUAUAUUCUGUAGCAAGGUUAACCGUAUAGGGGAGCCGCAGGGAAACCGAGUCUUAAACUGGGCGUUAAGUUGCAGGGUAUAGACCCGAAACCCGGUGAUCUAGCCAUGGGCAGGUUGAAGGUUGGGUAACACUAACUGGAGGACCGAACCGACUAAUGUUGAAAAAUUAGCGGAUGACUUGUGGCUGGGGGUGAAAGGCCAAUCAAACCGGGAGAUAGCUGGUUCUCCCCGAAAGCUAUUUAGGUAGCGCCUCGUGAACUCAUCUUCGGGGGUAGAGCACUGUUUCGGCUAGGGGGUCAUCCCGACUUACCAACCCGAUGCAAACUACGAAUACCGAAGAAUGUUAUCACGGGAGACACACGGCGGGUGCUAACGUCCGUCGUGAAGAGGGAAACAACCCAGACCGCCAGCUAAGGUCCCAAAGUCAUGGUUAAGUGGGAAACGAUGUGGGAAGGCACAGACAGCCAGGAUGUUGGCUUAGAAGCAGCCAUCAUUUAAAGAAAGCGUAAUAGCUCACUGGUCGAGUCGGCCUGCGCGGAAGAUGUAACGGGGCUAAACCAUGCACCGAAGCUGCGGCAGCGACGCUCAGGCGUUGUUGGGUAGGGGAGCGUUCUGUAAGCCGUUGAAGGUGGCCUGUGAGGGUUGCUGGAGGUAUCAGAAGUGCGAAUGCUGACAUAAGUAACGAUAAAGCGGGUGAAAAGCCCGCUCGCCGGAAGACCAAGGGUUCCUGUCCAACGUUAAUCGGGGCAGGGUGAGUCGACCCCUAAGGCGAGGCCGAAAGGCGUAGUCGAUGGGAAACAGGUUAAUAUUCCUGUACUCGGUGUUACUGCGAAGGGGGGACGGAGAAGGCUAUGUUAGCCGGGCGACGGUUGUCCCGGUUUAAGCAUGUAGGCGGAGAGUUUAGGUAAAUCCGGACUCUUAUUCAACGCUGAGGUGUGAUGACGAGGCACUACGGUGCUGAAGUAACAAAUGCCCUGCUUCCAGGAAAAGCCUCUAAGCAUCAGGUAACAUCAAAUCGUACCCCAAACCGACACAGGUGGUCAGGUAGAGAAUACCAAGGCGCUUGAGAGAACUCGGGUGAAGGAACUAGGCAAAAUGGUGCCGUAACUUCGGGAGAAGGCACGCUGAUGGUAAGUGAAACGACUUGCUCGUGGAGCUGAAAUCAGUCGAAGAUACCAGCUGGCUGCAACUGUUUAUUAAAAACACAGCACUGUGCAAACACGAAAGUGGACGUAUACGGUGUGACGCCUGCCCGGUGCCGGAAGGUUAAUUGAUGGGGUUAUCCGUAAGGAGAAGCUCUUGAUCGAAGCCCCGGUAAACGGCGGCCGUAACUAUAACGGUCCUAAGGUAGCGAAAUUCCUUGUCGGGUAAGUUCCGACCUGCACGAAUGGCGUAAUGAUGGCCAGGCUGUCUCCACCCGAGACUCAGUGAAAUUGAACUCGCUGUGAAGAUGCAGUGUACCCGCGGCAAGACGGAAAGACCCCGUGAACCUUUACUAUAGCUUGACACUGAACAUUGAGCCUUGAUGUGUAGGAUAGGUGGGAGGCUUUGAAGCGUGGACGCCAGUCUGCGUGGAGCCAACCUUGAAAUACCACCCUUUAAUGUUUGAUGUUCUAACGUAGACCCGUGAUCCGGGUUGCGGACAGUGUCUGGUGGGUAGUUUGACUGGGGCGGUCUCCUCCCAAAGAGUAACGGAGGAGCACGAAGGUUAGCUAAUCCUGGUCGGACAUCAGGAGGUUAGUGCAAUGGCAUAAGCUAGCUUGACUGCGAGCGUGACGGCGCGAGCAGGUGCGAAAGCAGGUCAUAGUGAUCCGGUGGUUCUGAAUGGAAGGGCCAUCGCUCAACGGAUAAAAGGUACUCCGGGGAUAACAGGCUGAUACCGCCCAAGAGUUCAUAUCGACGGCGGUGUUUGGCACCUCGAUGUCGGCUCAUCACAUCCUGGGGCUGAAGUAGGUCCCAAGGGUACGGCUGUUCGCCGUUUAAAGUGGUACGCGAGCUGGGUUUAGAACGUCGUGAGACAGUUCGGUCCCUAUCUGCCGUGGGCGCUGGAGAAUUGAGGGGGGCUGCUCCUAGUACGAGAGGACCGGAGUGGACGCAUCACUGGUGUUCGGGUUGUCAUGCCAAUGGCAUUGCCCGGUAGCUAAAUGCGGAAAAGAUAAGUGCUGAAAGCAUCUAAGCACGAAACUUGCCCCGAGAUGAGUUCUCCCUGACUCCUUGAGAGUCCUGAAGGAACGUUGAAGACUACGACGUUGAUAGGUCGGGUGUGUAAGCGUAGCGAUACGUUGAGCUAACCGAUACUAAUGAACCGUGAGGCUUAACCUUACAACGCCAAAGCUGUUUGG
rnacentral:rRNA from 1 species